UUAGAUUCUGCGUCAAGAACGAGACCCUCCGACUCUUGCGAUGAUCGACUUGCCCUGUUUUUCAGGCGUCUGCGGAGUCUCCGCGAAUCGGUUGUGCAGUUUUUGAGUGAUACAUUUGAUUUAAAGUCGCCCUCGAAGCUUCGUAAUUCGUAAAAAUCGCGUAAUCCAUGGAUAUAAAAAAAUCCAUGCAGCCCCUUCCGAAGUCUG